GUGAAAAUUAAAAAAAAAAUAUCAGGUAAACACAGAUAAUGAUUAUUGCAGCCAUGAACCUGUUGAGUCUAUAUUUCAUCCCAUCUUCAUGCACGUGGUAGUCCCGCCUUUGCAGGGCCUUGAUAUAUUUGCAAUGGAUUAAGCAAAGGGCCUCUGUUGAUUCACUCGUGUUCUCAUUUGAAACUAUUUGAGAUGUGAAUCUUGAAUUUUAUGUUCUUAUAAUUUCUUAGCAGAUUGAUUAGGACUGAUUUGGUUUCUAUUUUGUUUGGGCAAGUGGAACAGCUUGCGAAGCUUUACACUAAUUCACGGACUCACUAUGUAGCAAUUAAAGGGUGAUUGAUAGUUCCAACUUUUACUGUUAUAACUUCGGUUAUUACCUUUUCCAAUAUAUGCAUAUUUAAUAUUUCUCUCUGCACAUCAUUUAAGCAGGUGGUUCCAUUUGAGACAUUUAGGAAGAGUACGGUCUUUUCAGAUUUUAAUUGAUAUCUAUAUUGUUUCUUUCAUAUAAUGGGCAAGUGUGGAAACCAAUGCUAAUAGAAGGCAUGCAUUGCACAUGUAUUGUCUUAUUAACCGUGCACAUUUUGGAGCAUGAUAAUUGUCAAAUGGAUUGUCUAACAAUACUGAGGAGACCUGCAUGUCUGUCUAGAUUCUUAAUAUGGAACCAAUAGAUGAUGGAUGGCCAUUUUUUGCAACAUCUGACUGAGGAAUAAUGGUACAAUUGAUAAGACAAGGGCUGGACUUCCCUCCGCAACAAUCUUCUUUGCUCAAGUAAUUCAAGUUAAAAUCACUGCAGGGAGACCUUUUAUCGGAAAAUUCUUGAUGGACCAGGACAUGGAUUUUGGCUCCCGAGCUAAGAAAAAAGUGGCGGGGUCGGCUUCUUGAAGAAUACUGACCGACGGAGAUGCAGGGGAGAACUAGGACCUGCAAAUCCUUUGCAAUGGAGAUUGAGGCUUAUCUGAUUCAAGGUGAAUAGGCACAAUGUCAAAGGGCGGUUCCGAAGAUUUCACAUGAGGCGUGGUGUGGAGAGGAGAAUUUGAAUGUUCUUGAGCCUAAUAGUCACCAUGAAUUCUUGAUUUUCGGGCAUCUCUAAUAUCCACAUGCUCGCUUUCUUUACCUGCAACUUCUUCAGUUUCUGUAGGGUGAGGCGAUGAUAACAUAAGAGCAGUGUCAUCAAAGGUGAAAAUUUCUUCAUCCAUCUUUUCAUAGGGGGAAUCUUGGGGUUUUCUUCAUAUUUUGCCCCAAACGGCCGACACAAGCGGUGGCAUUGAGGCCAACGGCGGAAAAAGGUUUGGCUCAUUUAUAGUGACAUUGUCACUUUGCUUCUUCUUCGUUGGCUUCUCAACAGGUUCUGAAGCCUUCUAUUUUUAGCUUCACUCUCUGGAGCCUUACUUUUCUUCGACAAGGAAGCGUAGGGAAGUGUUGACUUCUUCAAAGGAGGCGGAGUGGAAAGCUUCGUAGAUGAAGAACUUGCCUUCUCAGUAGCCGGGGCAAGGGGCACGUUCUUUCUGUUUGGAAACGUACUAGAAAACAAAAUGCGCCUACUAAUCAUCCCAUCGUCACUAUGAAGAUGCAAGUGCGAUUGGAUCUAGAUUAGAUUGCUUACCAAUGUAAAUGUGAUAGAGAGGAGACUUUGUGAGGCGUGUUGAUACAUAUUUCCACAACUAGGUUAUACCUCCCAGCAGUGAGAAUUAGUCCAUCAAAAUUAUCCGUAGAUCAAGCUCAUAAUGUAUAAUGCCUCUGUAGAGAGCACCAGUCCAGCAGUUAGCUAUGUCGGAGAACUAGGGUGGAGGUCGAGCAGCCUUUCGACAGAGGAACAGUUUCCAAGAAGAGAACGAGGAAGAGAGAGGGGGGUAAACCUUACGCAAUCAUGUGUUUCUAGGGAGCACCCUGGCCUCUCCUUUAUAUAGGUGGCUAGGGGGUGCAUGGUUUUACCAUCCUAGGGUCGACGGAACAAUGGGUGGUAUUAUGCAUGUAUCUAUUAUGGCUCGACCCUCAUAAUACACAUAUAACAAGGAUUACAUAUCUGAAGCAAAGUUUGUGUUUCUAUA